rnacentral:lncRNA from 1 species
UUUUUCUUCAGUGGGCUGCAAUGGGCUGAUUUAUGAACAGUUUGCAUCUGUAUCUAAUUCCUGGCUAUUGAAACCGCCAUGAUAACUUGUGGGGCCAAACUACAGGAUACAUAUCUUUUGGAAACUCACUUAUCCACUUUGAUCACUUAACCUGAUAAAGUUUUGGCUCACUCUACUCCCUGAACUGUUUCAUUUGAUCCAAUCUAC